GAUGAAGAACGUAGCGAGAUGCGAUAAGUAAUGUGAAUUGCAGAAUUCAGUGAAUCAUCGAAUCUUUGAACGCACAUUGCGCCCCUUGGUAUUCCAUGGGGCAUGCCUGUUCGAGCGUCAUUUGUACCUUCAAGCCUUGCUUGGUGUUGGGUGUUUGUCUCGCCUCUGCGCGCAGACUCGCCUCAAAACAAUUGGCAGCCGGCGUAUUGAUUUCGGAGCGCAGUACAUCUCGCGCUUUGCACUCAGAACGACGACGUCCAAAAGUACAUUUUUACACUCUUGACCUCGGAUCAGGUAGGGAUACCCGCUGAACUUAAGCAUAUCAAUAAGCGGAGGA
rnacentral:misc_RNA from 1 species